UACGUAGGCAGCGAGCGUUGUUCGGAGUUACUGGGCGUAAAGCGCACGUAGGCGGCUUUUUAAGUCAGGGGUGAAAUCCUGGAGCUCAACUCCAGAACUGCCUUUGAUACUGGGAAGCUUGAGUCCGGAAGAGGUGAGUGGAACUCCGAGUGUAGAGGUGAAAUUCGUAGAUAUUCGGAAGAACACCAGUGGCGAAGGCGGCUCACUGGUCCGGUACUGACGCUGAGGUGCGAAAGCGUGGGGAGCAAACAGG
rnacentral:rRNA from 1 species